rnacentral:rRNA from 1 species
CCUACGGGUGGCUGCAGUGGGGGAUAUUGGACAAUGGGGGGAACCCUGAUCCAGCGACGCCGCGUGCGUGAAGAAGUAUUUAGGUAUGUAAAGCUCUGUCAGCAGGGAAGAAAGCAAUGACGGUACCUUACCAAGAAGCCCCGGCUAACUACGUGCCAGCAGCCGCGGUAAUACGUAGGGGGCAAGCGUUAUUCGGAAUUACUGGGUGUACAGGGGGCGUAGACGGAGGUGCAAGUCAGAUGUGAAAGCCCGGGGCUCAACCCCGGGACUGCAUUUGGAACUGGGCUGCUAGAGUGUCGGGGAGGUAGGCGGAAUGCCUAGUGUAGCGGUGAAAUGCGUAGAUAUUAGGAGGAACACCAGUGGCGAAGGCGGCCUGCUGGACGAUGACUGACGUUGAGGCUCGAAAGCGUGGGGAGCAAACAGGAUUAGAUACCCCAGUAGUC